rnacentral:rRNA from 1 species
CCUACGGGAGGCAGCAGUAGGGAAUCUUCCGCAAUGGACGAAAGUCUGACGGAGCAACGCCGCGUGAGUGAUGAAGGUCUUCGGAUCGUAAAACUCUGUUGUUAGGGAAGAACAAGUAUCGUUCGAAUAGGGCGGUACCUUGACGGUACCUAACCAGAAAGCCACGGCUAACUACGUGCCAGCAGCCGCGGUAAU